rnacentral:sRNA from 1 species
AUUCUCCUUUUGAAAUGGAAAAUAGUUCUUUUUUUCCCCCUAUAUUUUCCUCCUGGCUCUAGGACCUUUUGGGACAUUUCAUAAAUGUAUUAUAGAAGAGUAAAUAUUCCUUUGUGUUUGUAUGACUGACUUGCCCUAAAAUGUUGUUUGACCUUCAGAGCUACUGACUAUUGACAUGAUUUAUUUUGCAUGGUUUGUAAGAGGAAAGUAGCAAAAUAGCAGAGUGCAUAUCACAAAAGCAUUCUGUUUGGGAGCAAGUAUGGGGAAAAGAUCUGGGGACUGUUUUGUAAAAUACCCAUUCCUUUCUCAUUUUCUAGGUUGUAAGAAGUAAGUACAUUCUAGGGUCAAAAGAGAUAACUUAGUACACAGAGCAGGGCAGCCCACGGACCUUACCGUGCUCUACAGUACUUUCCUUCAUAUUUCCCCCACAGUUUCUGAUGAAGAACAAUCCGUAGUUUAUGUUCCAGGAAUCUCCACAGAAAGAAAUACAAGAUCAAGGCUCAAGUUGAUAAAUCCAAAAGUUGAUGCUAAAGUUAAGGUUCCCAAGGUGACUGAUAUUCCUGCCUCCAUGGAGUCUUUAAAAGGUGCAGGAGAUUCAGUAGCUGAACAGAGUUUCUGCAAGAGAGGA